rnacentral:rRNA from 1 species
GGCGAACGGGUGAGUAAUACGUGAGUAACCUGCCCUUGACUCUGGGAUAAGCCUGGGAAACUGGGUCUAAUACUGGAUACUACCUCUUACCGCAUGGUGGGUGGUGGAAAGGGUUUUACUGGUUUUGGAUGGGCUCACGGCCUAUCAGCUUGUUGGUGGGGUAAUGGCUCACCAAGGCGACGACGGGUAGCCGGCCUGAGAGGGUGACCGGCCACACUGGGACUGAGACACGGCCCAGACUCCUACGGGAGGCAGCAGUGGGGAAUAUUGCACAAUGGGCGGAAGCCUGAUGCAGCGACGCCGCGUGAGGGAUGACGGCCUUCGGGUUGUAAACCUCUUUCAGUAGGGAAGAAGCAAGAGUGACGGUACCUGCAGAAGAAGCGCCGGCUAACUACGUGCCAGCAGCCGCGGUAAUACGUAGGGCGCAAGCGUUGUCCGGAAUUAUUGGGCGUAAAGAGCUCGUAGGCGGUUUGUCGCGUCUGCUGUGAAAGCCCGGGGCUCAACCCCGGGUCUGCAGUGGGUACGGGCAGACUAGAGUGCAGUANGGGAGACUGNAAUUCCUGGUGUAGCGGUGAAAUGCGCAGAUAUCAGGAGGAACACCGAUGNNNAAGGCAGGUCUCUGGGCUGUUACUGACGCUGAGGAGCGAAAGCAUGGGGANNGAANNGGAUUAGAUACCCUGGUAGUCCAUGCCGUAAACNUUNNNNANNNGGUGUGGGGGACAUUCCACGUUUUCCGCGCCGUAGCUAACGCAUUAAGUGCCCCGCCUGGGGAGUACGGCCGCAAGGCUAAAACUCAAAGGAAUUGACGGGGGCCCGCACAAGCGGCGGAGCAUGCGGAUUAAUUCGAUGCAACGCGAAGAACCUUACCAAGGCUUGACAUUCACCGGACCGCCCCAGAGAUGGGGUUUCCCUUCGGGGCUGGUGGACAGGUGGUGCAUGGUUGUCGUCAGCUCGUGUCGUGAGAUGUUGGGUUAAGUCCCGCAACGAGCGCAACCCUCGUUCUAUGUUGCCAGCACGUGAUGGUGGGGACUCAUAGGAGACUGCCGGGGUCAACUCGGAGGAAGGUGGGGAUGACGUCAAAUCAUCAUGCCCCUUAUGUCUUGGGCUUCACGCAUGCUACAAUGGCCGGUACAAAGGGUUGCGAUACUGUGAGGUGGAGCUAAUCCCAAAAAGCCGGUCUCAGUUCGGAUUGAGGUCUGCAACUCGACCUCAUGAAGUCGGAGUCGCUAGUAAUCGCAGAUCAGCAACGCUGCGGUGAAUACGUUCCCGGGCCUUGUACACACCGCCCGUCAAGUCACGAAAGUUGGUAACACCCGAAGCCGGUGGCCUAACCCCUUGCGGGAGGGAGCCGUCGAAGGUGGGACU